GACGAACCGUGCGAACGUUGUUCGGAAUCACUGGGCUUAAAGGGCGCGUAGGCGGCCCGCCAAGUCAGGGGUGAAAGCCCCCAGCUCAACUGGGGAAGUGCCUUUGAUACUGGCGGGCUCGAGGGGGAUAGGGGCGGACGGAACUUCCGGUGGAGCGGUGAAAUUCGUAGAUAUUAGGAAGAACACCGGUGGCGAAGGCGGCCCACUGGUCCGGUACUGACGCUGAGGUGCGAAAGCGUGGGGAGCAAACAGG
rnacentral:rRNA from 1 species